AAAUUAUUUAAUUAAUGUUAGUAGAAUUAUAUUAUUAUUAUUUAUGAUAUUUAUAUAAUUAAAUUUUUUUUUAUUAAGAUUUUGUAAAAAUUUUUUUAUUUAUAGAAAAUUAGUAUUGUAAAAGAAUUUUUUUUAAUUAAUUAAAAGAAAAUUUCAUUAAUUGUAUCUUUUGUAUCAGAGUUGAUUAAAAUAAAUUUAUAUAUAUUAAAAAUUUUGAAAUUUUUUGGUUUAUAAAAUUAAAAUAAUUAAAGUUUAAAAUUUAUUAUUAAUAAUUUUAUAGUAAUUAUAAAUUAUUCGUUAAUAAAUAUAUCAAAUUUUUUUAGAAAUUUAUUUAAUUAAUAAUUAAAUUUAAUAAUUUAAUAUUUAGUAGUUUAUAAUAAUAUAUUUAUUAAUUUAAUUAAAUAUUUUUAGGGAUAAGCUUAAAAAUUAUGUGUAUAUAUUAUAUUAUAUGAUAUAAAGUAUAAAAUAAUAAGAUUAUUAUUAUUUAUUUAUUAAUAUUUAUGUUAAAAAAUUUAGUUAAAUUUUUUAUUUUUAAUUAUAUUUUAUAUAAAAAAAUUUUUUUUAAUUUAAUAAAAUAAGUAAAAAUGGUUAAAUUAGUAAUUAAUGAUUUAAAAAAUUAAUUUUAGUUUAAUUUAUUUUAUAAAUGAACUCGGCAAAAUUAUUUUUACCUGUUUAAUAAAAACAUGUCUAUUUGAAAAAAAAAUAAAUAGUCUAAUCUGCCCAUUGAUUAUUUUAAAGGCUGCAGUAUUUUAAUUGUACAAAGGUAGCAUAAUAAUUAGAUUUUUAAUUGAAAUCUUGUAUGAAUGAUUUAAUAAAUAUAAGCUAUAUUUAUAAUAAUUAAUUAAUUUUUUAUUUAAGUAAAAAAACUUAAAUAUUUAAAAAAGACAAUAAGACCCUAUGAAACUUUAUUUUUAAUUAAUUAUUUUAUAAUUAAAAAAAUUUAAUUGGGGAAAUUUUUAGAUAGAUAAAAUUCUUUUAUUGUUUAUUAAUUAAUAAUAAUUAAUGAUCUUUUAUUAAAGUAUUUAAGAAAAAGUUGCUUUAGGGAUAACAGCAUAAUAAAAAUUUAUAGUUCUUAUAUAAAUCUUUGAUUGUGACCUCGAUGUUGGAUUUAAAUAUAUUAUAAAUCGAAGUAGACUUAUAAUUUUAAUCUGUUCGAUUUAAAAUUUAACAUGAUCUGAGUUAAAAUCGGUGUGAACUAGAUUGGUUUAUAUCUUUUUUUAUAAUAAUAGUAAUUAGUACGAAAGGAAACUUAUUAAUAAUUUAUAAUUUUUAUUAGAAUA
rnacentral:rRNA from 1 species